rnacentral:rRNA from 1 species
GCGUGAGAGGUGGUGCAUUGGCCGUCGUCAGUUCGUACUGUGAAGCAUCCUGUUAAGUCAGGCAACGAGCGAGACCCAGCCCACAGUUGCCAGCGUACUCUCUGGAGUGACGGGUACACUGUGGGGACCGCCGCUGCUAAAGCGGAGGAAGGAAUGGGCAACGGUAGGUCAGUAUGCCCCGAAUAUCCCGGGCUACACGCGAGCUACAAUGGGUGGGACAAUGGGUAUCGACACCGAACGGUGAAGGCAAUCUCCUAAACCCAUCCGUAGUUCGGAUUGUGGGCUGCAACUCGCCCACAUGAAGCUGGAAUCUGUAGUAAUCGUGUCUCAAAAUGGCACGGUGAAUAUGUCCCUGCUCCUU